GAUGAAGAACGCAGCGAAAUGCGAUACGUAAUGUGAAUUGCAAAUUCAGUGAAUCAUCGAGUCUUUGAACGCACAUUGCGCCCCCUGGUAUUCCGGGGGGCAUGCCUGUCCGAGCGUCAUUGCUGCCCUCAAGCACGGCUUGUGUGUUGGGCCCCGUCCUCCGAUCCCGGGGGACGGGCCCGAAAGGCAGCGGCGGCACCGCGUCCGGUCCUCGAGCGUAUGGGGCUUUGUCACCCGCUCUGUAGGCCCGGCCGGCGCUUGCCGAUCAACCUAAAUUUUUAUCCAGGUUGACCUCGGAUCAGGUAGGGAUACCCGCUGAACUUAAGCAUAUCAAUAAGCGGAGGA
rnacentral:misc_RNA from 1 species